AGCAGUCGCCGCGGUAAUACGGAGGGUGCAAGCGUUAAUCGGAAUUACUGGGCGUAAAGCGCACGCAGGCGGUUUGUUAAGUCAGAUGUGAAAUCCCCGAGCUUAACUUGGGAACUGCAUUUGAAACUGGCAAGCUAGAGUCUUGUAGAGGGGGGUAGAAUUCCAGGUGUAGCGGUGAAAUGCGUAGAGAUCUGGAGGAAUACCGGUGGCGAAGGCGGCCCCCUGGACAAGGACUGACGCUCAGGUGCGAAAGCGUGGGGAGCAAACAGGAUUAGAUACCCCUGUAGUCCCUGUCUCUUAUAC
rnacentral:rRNA from 1 species